UACGUAGGGGGCAAGCGUUGUCCGGAAUCAUUGGGCGUAAAGCGCGCGUAGGCGGCCCUGUAAGUCCGUUGUGAAAGUCAAAGGCUCAACCUUUGAAAGCCGAUGGAUACUGCAGGGCUAGAGUCCGGAAGAGGCGAGUGGAAUUCCUGGUGUAGCGGUGGAAUGCGCAGAUAUCAGGAGGAACACCAAUAGUGAAGGCAGCUCGCUGGGACGGUACUGACGCUAAGGCGCGAAAGCGUGGGGAGCGAACAGG
rnacentral:rRNA from 1 species